GGGAGUGUAGCUCAGUGGUAGAGCGCGUGCUUAGCAUGCACGAGGCCCUGGGUUCAAUUCCCAGCACUUCCA
rnacentral:tRNA from 2 species